UCUCCAUCCCCACAAUCUCACUUUAUCACUUUUUCUUAUCUUCCUUACCCUUUUCCUUUUUCCAACCUCUUCUACUCUUUCCAUUGAAGUAAAAAAUGUUGGCACGAUUUCUGGUUGUUCACAAUCUCGUCGGUGUUCGGAGUUGAUUUUGGGUUCUGUUGGAUUGGGGUUUUGGUGGUGACCGGUGGCGCUAAGGAAAAGUGGGGGUCUAUUGGGUGGUAUGAUUGUUUCUAGUUGUUCACAACUGGCGGCGUUGUGAAAGUCGAGAC
rnacentral:lncRNA from 1 species